UCUAAUGUGGCAGAAAAGUGCGGUGAAUUUAAGCUUCAUAUAUAAAGGUUAAUCUUUUUUUAGAA
rnacentral:tRNA from 1 species